AAAGAUUGGCCUUGUAUGGGAAAGUGAGGACUUUGCCUAUCAGAAAGUCAAGCCAGGAUCUGAAAUAAUGAGCCCCCAGGUUGUGUGUAAAAAGAUGCGUAAUGUCAGUCUACCCAGUAAUUAUUUCGGCUGUAAUUCACAGGCUCCCGUACGGAAUCUGCCUCACUGCUGAACCUACAGGUAGGUACAGAGGCUAGCAGGUGAUUAUAGAG